UAGGGAAUCUUCGGCAAUGGACGAAAGUCUGACCGAGCAACGCCGCGUGAGUGAAGAAGGUUUUCGGAUCGUAAAACUCUGUUGUUAGAGAAGAACAAGGACGUUAGUAACUGAACGUCCCCUGACGGUAUCUAACCAGAAAGCCACGGCUAACUACGUGCCAGCAUCCGCGGUAAUACGUAGGUGGCAAGCGUUGUCCGGAUUUAUUGGGCGUAAAGCGAGCGCAGGCGGUUUCUUAAGUCUGAUGUGAAAGCCCCCGGCUCAACCGGGGAGGGUCAUUGGAAACUGGGAGACUUGAGUGCAGAAGAGGAGAGUGGAAUUCCAUGUGUAGCGGUGAAAUGCGGAGAUAUAUGGAGGAAAACCAGUGGCGAAGGCGGCUAUCUGGUAUGUAACUGACGCUGAGGCUCGAAAGCGUGGGGAGCAAACAGG
rnacentral:rRNA from 1 species